rnacentral:rRNA from 1 species
UACGUAGGGGGCAAGCGUUGUCCGGAAUCAUUGGGCGUAAAGAGCGUGUAGGCGGCCCGAUAAGUCCGCUGUGAAAGUCCAGGGCUCAACCCUGGAAUGCCGGUGGAUACUGUCGGGCUCGAGUCCGGAAGAGGUGAGUGGAAUUCCUGGUGUAGCGGUGAAAUGCGCAGAUAUCAGGAGGAACACCAAUGGCGAAGGCAGCUCACUGGGACGGUAUUGACGCUGAGACGCGAAAGCGUGGGGAGCAAACAGG